GCCGGGCGCGGUGGCCCGUGUCUGUAGUUCCAGCUAUUCGGGAGGCUGAGGCUGGAGGAUCUCUUGAGUCCAGGAGAUCUAGGCUGUAGUGCGCUAUGCCGAUCGGGUGUCCGCACUAAGUUCAUCAUCAAUAUGGUGACCUCCUGGGAGCGGGGGACCACCAGGUUGCCUAAGGAGGGGUGAACAGGCCCAGGUCGGAAACGGAGCAGGUCAAAACUCCCGUGCUGAUGAGUAGUGGGAUCGCGCCUGUGAAUAGCCACUGCACUCCAGCCUGAGCAACAUAGUGAGUCCCUGUCUCU
rnacentral:SRP_RNA from 1 species